GGCCCGCAUCGGACGUCGUUCCCACGCCCCGGGUCGGCCGCCGCCUUCCCCCAUCCCGUAUAGACGCGAGGGACGAAAAAUCGAUGGAGGGUGGCCUCGAAUCGGAGCGAGAAACGACGAAUCGAUGGAGGGUGGCCUCGAAUCGAAGCGGAGGGUGGCCUUCGUCGGCCCGCGUGGUGAGCUUUUCCUCCUCUCGUUCUCCUGUCAUGGCUCCGGUCACCUGCAUCCGGCGAGGCUCGAGCUCGCUUGGGCUGGUGUGGAGAGAGGGUUGGGCGGCGCUACGGGCGGCCGCGGCUCGAUGCGCGGUGCUGUGCGCCCUUCCUCACCCCGGCGGGCGGCUGCCGGCCGACGGCCCGAUGCGUGGGCGGCGAUGUCGGCAGUGAAGUCCGGCGACCGGAGGAGUCACCGUCGGGAGGAAGCACGGCGGUGGGCGCUAGCGGAACAGUCCCGAGAGGAGCAGUUGGCUUCCCGCCGGAGCGCUUGCAGUUUUAGCAAUCCAGGAAUAUUCAAGGAUAGCAAUCCACGUGGCCAAACUGUUGGAGCAUUUUUUUUUAUAGGUAUCUGACAGUUUGUAGGGAUACCAAUCCAUUUUACAUGUACCGUUGGACUAACCCCGUCGAAACGCCGUGUCGAUGACUUGACUCCGCUCCUUUUUCUGCUGACGAGGGUUGGAG
rnacentral:lncRNA from 1 species